ACGGGAGGCAGCAGUGGGGAAUAUUGGACAAUGGGCGAAAGCCUGAUCCAGCCAUGCCGCGUGUGUGAAGAAGGUCUUCGGAUUGUAAAGCACUUUAAGUUGGGAGGAGGGCAGUAAAUUAAUACUUUGCUGUUUUGACGUUACCGACAGAAUAAGCACCGGCUAACUCUGUGCCAGCAGCCGCGGUAAUACAGAGGGUGCAAGCGUUAAUCGGAAUUACUGGGCGUAAAGCGCGCGUAGGUGGUUCGUUAAGUUGGAUGUGAAAUCCCCGGGCUCAACCUGAGAACUGCAUUCAAAACUGUCGAGCUAGAGUAUGGUAGAGGGUGGUGGAAUUUCCUGUGUAGCGGUGAAAUGCGUAGAUAUAGGAAGGAACACCAGUGGCGAAGGCGACCACCUGGACUGAUACUGACACUGAGGUGCGAAAGCGUGGGGAGCAAACAGGGUUAGAUACCCUGGUAGUCCACGCCGUAAACGAUGUCAACUAGCCGUUGGGAGCCUUGAGCUCUUAGUGGCGCAGCUAACGCAUUAAGUUGACCGCCUGGGGAGUACGGCCGCAAGGUUAAAACUCAAAUGAAUUGACGGGGGCCCGCACAAGCGGUGGAGCAUGAGGUUUAAUUCGAAGCAACGCGAAGAACCUUACCAGGCCUUGACAUCCAAUGAACUUUCCAGAGAUGGAUUGGUGCCUUCGGGAACAUUGAGACAGGUGCUGCAUGGCUGUCGUCAGCUCGUGUCGUGAGAUGUUGGGUUAAGUCCCGUAACGAGCGCAACCCUUGUCCUUAGUUACCAGCACGUAAUGGUGGGCACUCUAAGGAGACUGCCGGUGACAAACCGGAGGAAGGUGGGGAUGACGUCAAGUCAUCAUGGCCCUUACGGCCUGGGCUACACACGUGCUACAAUGGUCGGUACAGAGGGUUGCCAAGCCGCGAGGUGGAGCUAAUCCCAGAAAACCGAUCGUAGUCCGGAUCGCAGUCUGCAACUCGACUGCGUGAAGUCGGAAUCGCUAGUAAUCGCGAAUCAGAAUGUCGCGGUGAAUACGUUCCCGGGCCUUGUACACACCGCCAUC
rnacentral:rRNA from 1 species